rnacentral:precursor_RNA from 15 species
ACCAGGAAAUUAAAAGUGAUGGAUGACACCUCCUUAACUCAUGCCGCUGUGCCUUUCACCCCCACUCCCACAAUUGUAUGAGUUGAGUACAGAGUAUCAGACUAACACUGCUUGGCCCCCA